rnacentral:rRNA from 1 species
AUUGAACGCUGGCGGCAGGCCUAACACAUGCAAGUCGAGCGGCAGCGGGAAAGUAGCUUGCUACUUUUGCCGGCGAGCGGCGGACGGGUGAGUAAUGCCUGGGGAUCUGCCCAGUCGAGGGGGAUAACUACUGGAAACGGUAGCUAAUAACGCAUACGCCCUACGGGGGAAAGCAGGGGACCUUCGGGCCUCGCGCGAUUGGAUGAACCCAGGUGGGAUUAGCUAGUUGGUGAGGUAAUGGCUCACCAAGGCGACGAUCCCUAGCUGGUCUGAGAGGAUGAUCAGCCACACUGGAGCUGAGACACGGUCCAGACUCCUACGGGAGGCAGCAGUGGGGAAUAUUGCACAAUGGGGGAAACCCUGAUGCAGCCAUGCCGCGUGUGUGAAGAAGGCCUUCGGGUUGUAAAGCACUUUCAGCGAGGAGGAAAGGUUGGUAGCUAAUAACUGCCAGCUGUGACGUUACUCGCAGAAGAAGCACCGGCUAACUCCGUGCCAGCCGCCGCGGUAACAC